AGGACAAACGCUGGCGGCGUGCCUAAGACAUGCAAGUCGAACGGAAGGCUUCGGCCUUGAGUGGCGGACGGGUGAGGAGCGCGUGGAGAACCUGCCCCGGGGUGGGGGAUAACAGUCGGAAACGAUUGCUAAGACCGCAUACGACCAUUCGUUGCAGGAUGAAUGGGGAAAGCAGCGAUGUGCCCUGGGAGGGCUCCGCGUCGGAUUAGCUAGUUGGUGGGGUAACGGCCUACCAAGGCUGCGAUCCGUAGCUGGUCUGAGAGGACGGCCAGCCACACUGGGACUGAGACACGGCCCAGACUCCUACGGGAGGCAGCAGUUAGGGAAUUUUGUCAAUGGGCGAAAGCCUGAACGAGUGACGCCGCGUGCGGGAUGACGCCGUUUCGGGUGUAAACCGCUUUUCCAAGGACGAGGAGUGGACGGUACUUGGGGAAUAAGUCUCGGCUAACUACGUGCCAGCAGCCGC
rnacentral:rRNA from 1 species